rnacentral:rRNA from 1 species
AAUGAACGUUGGCGGCGUGGAUUAGGCAUGCAAGUCGAGCGAGAACCGUAGCAAUACGGGGACAGCGGCGCAAGGGAGAGUAAUACGUGGAUACCUACCCUCGGGUCCGGGAUAGCUGCGGGAAACUGCAGGUAAUACCGGAUGACAUCUCCGGAUCAAAGGUGUGAUUCCGCCCGGGGCGGGGUCCGCGUCCUAUUAGCUAGUUGGUGAGGUAACGGCUCACCAAGGCUGUGAUGGGUACGGGGUGUGAGAGCUUGCCCCCGCUCACUGGGACUGAGACACGGCCCAGACACCUACGGGUGGCUGCAGUCGAGAAUCUUCGGCAAUGGGCGCAAGCCUGACCGAGCGACGCCGCGUGCGAGAUGAAGGCCUUCGGGUUGUAAAUCGCUGUCAGAGGGGAGGAAAUGCCGGGGGCUCUCUCAUCGGUUUGACCUAUCCUCAGAGGAAGGACGGGCUAAGUUCGUGCCAGCAGCCGCCGUAA